AGUGAACGCUGGCGGUAGGCCUAACACAUGCAAGUCGAACGGCAGCACAGUAAGAGCUUGCUCUUACGGGUGGCGAGUGGCGGACGAGUGAGGAAUACAUCGGAAUCUACUUUUUCGUGGGGGAUAACGUAGGGAGACUUACGCUAAUACCGCAUACGACCUACGGGUGAAAGCAGGGGAUCUUCGGACCUUGCGCGAUUGAAUGAGCCGAUGUCGGAUUAGCUAGUUGGCGGGGUAAAGGCCCACCAAGGCGACGAUCCGUAGCUGGUCUGAGAGGAUGAUCAGCCACACUGGAACUGAGACACGGUCCAGACUCCUACGGGAGGCAGCAGUGGGGAAUAUUGGACAAUGGGCGCAAGCCUGAUCCAGCCAUACCGCGUGGGUGAAGAAGGCCUUCGGGUUGUAAAGCCCUUUUGUUGGGAAAGAAAAGCAGCAGGUUAAUACCCCGCUGUUCUGACGGUACCCAAAGAAUAAGCACCGGCUAACUUCGUG
rnacentral:rRNA from 1 species